rnacentral:rRNA from 1 species
GCGUGUGCGAAGAAGGCCUUCGGGUUGUAAAGCACUUUUGUUUGGAAAGAAAUCAGACUGGUUAAUACCCGGUUUGGAUGACGGUACCAAUCGAAUAAGCACCGGCUAACUACGUGCCAGCAGCCGCGGUAAUACGUAGGGUGCAAGCGUUAAUCGGAAUUACUGGGCGUAAAGCGUGCGCAGGCGGCUAUGUAAGACAGAUGUGAAAUCCCCGGGCUCAACCUGGGAAUUGCAUUUGUGACUGCAUGGCUAGAGUGUGUCAGAGGGAGGUGGAAUUCCACGUGUAGCAGUGAAAUGCGU